UAGUUUGAUCCUGGCUCAGAACGAACGCUGGCGGCAUGCCUAACACAUGCAAGUCGAACGAAGCCUUCGGGCUUAGUGGCGCACGGGUGCGUAACGCGUGGGAACCUACCAUCAGGUUCGGGAUAACAGUUGGAAACGACUGCUAAUACCGGAUAAUGUCUUCGGACCAAAGAUUUAUCGCCUUUUGAUGGGCCCGCGUAAGAUUAGCUAGUUGGUGAGGUAAAAGCUCACCAAGGCGACGAUCUUUAGCUGGUCUGAGAGGAUGAUCAGCCACACUGGGACUGAGACACGGCCCAGACUCCUACGGGAGGCAGCAGUGGGGAAUAUUGGACAAUGGGCGAAAGCCUGAUCCAGCAAUGCCGCGUGAGUGAUGAAGGCCUUAGGGUUGUAAAGCUCUUUUACUGGGGAUGAUAAUGACAGUACCCAGAGAAUAAGCUCCGGCUAACUCCGUGCCAGCAGCCGCGGUAAUACGGAGGGAGCUAGCGUUGUUCGGAAUUACUGGGCGUAAAGCGCGCGUAGGCGGUACAAUUAGUCAGAGGUGAAAUCCCGGGGCUUAACCCCGGAACUGCCUUUGAAACUGUUGAACUAGAAUCCUGGAGAGGUGAGUGGAAUUCCGAGUGUAGAGGUGAAAUUCGUAGAUAUUCGGAAGAACACCAGUGGCGAAGGCGACUCACUGGACAGGUAUUGACGCUGAGGUGCGAAAGC
rnacentral:rRNA from 1 species